GAUGAACGCUAGCUACAGGCUUAACACAUGCAAGUCGAGGGGCAGCAUGGUCUUAGCUUGCUAAGGCCGAUGGCGACCGGCGCACGGGUGAGUAACACGUAUCCAACCUGCCGUCUACUCUUGGACAGCCUUCUGAAAGGAAGAUUAAUACAAGAUGGCAUCAUGAGUCCGCAUGUUCACAUGAUUAAAGGUAUUCCGGUAGACGAUGGGGAUGCGUUCCAUUAGAUAGUAGGCGGGGUAACGGCCCACCUAGUCUUCGAUGGAUAGGGGUUCUGAGAGGAAGGUCCCCCACAUUGGAACUGAGACACGGUCCAAACUCCUACGGGAGGCAGCAGUGAGGAAUAUUGGUCAAUGGCGCAGGCCUGAACCAGCCAAGUAGCGUGCAGGAUGACGGCCCUAUGGGUUGUAAACUGCUUUUAUAAGGGAAUAAAGUGAGUCUCGUGAGACUUUUUGCAUGUACCUUAUGAAU
rnacentral:rRNA from 1 species